UUGUAUUUUCUUAGUUUGAGUCUUUGGUUGUGUUAUUAUAAAAUUAUGAGUUCUGUGUAUUCAAGUUGUUCAUGUACAAUAUUCUAUUUUUCAUGAUUAGGCUAGACUAGCAAAGGUCUUCACAAUGUGCUUUUUGGGAUUCCUUAUGGCUUCCAAGUAUGUCAACAUUUUGCCUGCUAGUGGAAGGAAACUUUUAAAUGGGGUAAUACUCGUCGACCCCAAAAUUUUGAGACUAAAGCUUGUUGUUGUUGUUGUUGUUGUUGUUGAAUAUGUCAUGCUGAUACUCACUUAUUAUUAACUUACUCUGCAACUUAGAUUUACCUAUCAGCAAAUUUGAGCACCAUAACUCAUUGUUCCCACUAUUUGUGUAAUGCAGUUGGUCUUUUUACUUUUACUUCCAUGUUUGAUAUUCUCUCAACUUGGUAAAGCUAUCACCAUUAAGAAAAUGCUUGAAUGAUGCUCGUUGAUGAUAUUGGAGAUGUGACAAUUACUAAUGAUGGUGCUACAAUACUGAAGAUGCUAUAAUUUUUUGAUGGCUUUUUGUGUACAAAGAACUACAUUUAAACAACCACAUUUUUUGGAAGUGUUGAAGGAUUUGUUUAAAUACUUUGGAACUUUGAUAAUGGUUAUAGACAAUGUUAUGUAUUUGAUAUGUUAAUAUAAUGUUAGUUUGGAGACA